rnacentral:rRNA from 1 species
GAUGAACGCUAGCGGCAGGCCUAACACAUGCAAGUCGAGGGGUAGCAGGAUUAAGCUUGCUUAAUUGCUGACGACCGGCGCGCGGGUGCGUAACGCGUAUACAACCUACCUUAUACUGGGGUAUAGCCCGGAGAAAUUCGGAUUAAUCCCCCAUAGUACUAAUGAAUCGCAUGGUUUAUUAGUUAAAGCAUUGCGGUAUAAGAUGGGCAUGCGUCCUAUUAGCUAGAUGGUGAGGUAACGGCUCACCAUGGCUACGAUAGGUAGGGGGCCUGAGAGGGUGGUCCCCCACACUGGUACUGAGACACGGACCAGACUCCUACGGGAGGCAGCAGUGAGGAAUAUUGGUCAAUGGGCGCAAGCCUGAACCAGCCAUGCCGCGUGCAGGAAGAAUGCCCUAUGGGUCGUAAACUGCUUUUAUUUGGGAAUAAACCUCUUUACGUGUAGAGAGCUGAAGGCACCAAAUGAAUAAGCACCGGCUAACUCCGUGCCAGCCGCCGCCGUAA